rnacentral:rRNA from 1 species
GAUGAACGCUGGCGGCGUGCCUAACACAUGCAAGUCGAACGAGAAACCUUUGAAAGAGACUUCGGUCAAUUGAUAAGAAUUUCUAGUGGCGGACGGGUGAGUAACACGUGGAUAACCUGCCCUAAACAGGGGGAUAACUAUGAGAAAUUAUAGCUAAAACCCCAUAAGCUCACAUUGUCGCAUGACAGAGUGAGAAAAUAUUUAUAGGUUUAGGAGGGGUCCGCGUCUGAUUAGCUAGUUGGUGGGGUAAUGGCCUACCAAGGCGACGAUCAGUAGCCGGCCUGAGAGGGCGGACGGCCACAUUGGGACUGAGACACGGCCCAAACUCCUACGGGAGGCAGCAGUGGGGAAUAUUGCACAAUGGGCGAAAGCCUGAUGCAGCAACGCCGCGUGAAGGAUGAAGGUUUUCGGAUUGUAAACUUCUAUCAAUGGGGAAGAAAAAAAUGACGGUACCCAAAUAAGAAGCCCCGGCUAACUACGUGCCAGCAGCCGCGGUAAUACGUAGGGGGCAAGCGUUAUCCGGAUUUACUGGGUGUAAAGGGUGAGUAGGCGGUCUGUUAAGUCAUAUGUGAAACCUAUGGGCUCAACCCAUAGACUGCAUAAGAAACUGAUAGACUAGAGUGCAGGAGAGGUAAGUGGAAUUCCUAGUGUAGCGGUGAAAUGCGUAGA